GAGAGCCCGGUGCCCGGAGACGGGCACGCCGGGUUCGGCGGGCGGACCGGGGAAACCCACC
rnacentral:ncRNA from 1 species